GCCGUACACAAUACGUACAUAUGUGCAUAUGUACAUAUGUGUAUAUGUACGUAUGUAUGUAUGUACAUAUGUAUGUAUGUAUGUACAUAUGUAUGUAUGUAUGUACAUAUGUAUGUAUGUAUGUACAUA
rnacentral:miRNA from 1 species